rnacentral:rRNA from 1 species
GGGGAAUUUUCCGCAAUGGGCGAAAGCCUGACGGAGCAAUACCGCGUGAGGGAGGAAGGCUCUUGGGUUGUAAACCUCUUUUCUCAAGGAAGAAAAAAAUGACGGUACUUGAGGAAUAAGCAUCGGCUAACUCCGUGCCAGCAGCCGCGGUAAUACGGAGGAUGCAAGCGUUAUCCGGAAUGAUUGGGCGUAAAGCGUCCGCAGGUGGCUAUGUAAGUCUGCUGUUAAAGAGUCUGGCUCAACCAGAUAAAGGCAGUGGAAACUACAUGGCUAGAGUGCGUUCGGGGCAGAGGGAAUUCCUGGUGUAGCGGUGAAAUGCGUAGAGAUCAGGAAGAACACCGGUGGCGAAAGCGCUCUGCUAGGCCGCAACUGACACUGAGGGACGAAAGCUAGGGGAGCGAAUGGGAUUAGAUACCCCAGUAGUCCUAGCCGUAAACGAUGGAUACUAGGCGUGGCUUGUAUCGACCCGAGCCGUGCCGUAGCUAACGCGUUAAGUAUCCCGCCUGGGGAGUACGCAGGCAACUGUGAAACUCAAAGGAAUUGACGGGGGCCCGCACAAGCGGUGGAGUAUGUGGUUUAAUUCGAUGCAACGCGAAGAACCUUACCAGGACUUGACAUGUCGCGAAUUUCUGUGAAAGCAGAAAGUGCCUUCGGGAGCGCGAACACAGGUGGUGCAUGGCUGUCGUCAGCUCGUGUCGUGAGAUGUUGGGUUAAGUCCCGCAACGAGCGCAACCCUCGUUUUUAGUUGCCAGCAUUAAGUUGGGCACUCUAGAGAGACUGCCGGUGACAAACCGGAGGAAGGUGGGGAUGACGUCAAGUCAGCAUGCCCCUUACGUUCUGGGCCACACACGUACUACAAUGCUACGGACAAAGGGCAGCAAGCUAGCGAUAGCAAGCUAAUCUCAUUAAACCCGUGGCUCAGUUCAAAUCGCAGGCUGCAACUCGCCUGCGUGAAGGAGGAAUCGCUAGUAAUUGCAGGUCAGCAUACUGCAGUGAAUUCGUUCCCGGGCCUUGUAAACACCGCCCGUCACACCAUGGAAGCUGGUAGUGCCCGAAGUCAUUACCCCAACUGUUCCCAGAGGGGGAAUGCCUAAGGCAGGACUGGUGACUGGGGUGAAGUCGUAACAAGGUAGCCGUACCGGAAGGUGUGGCUGGAUCACCUCCU